GUAGGGUGCGAGCGUUGUCCGGAAUUAUUGGGCGUAAAGGGCUCGUAGGCGGUUUGUCACGUCGGGAGUGAAAACUCGGGGCUUAACUCCGAGCCUGCUUCCGAUACGGGCAGACUAGAGGUAUGCAGGGGAGAACGGAAUUCCUGGUGUAGCGGUGAAAUGCGCAGAUAUCAGGAGGAACACCGGUGGCGAAGGCGGUUCUCUGGGCAUUACCUGACGCUGAGGAGCGAAAGUGUGGGGAGCGAACAGGAUUAGAUACCCUGGUAGUCCACACCGUAAACGUUGGGCGCUAGGUGUGGGACACAUUCCACGUGUUCCGUGCCGCAGCUAACGCAUUAAGCGCCCCGCCUGGGGAGUACGGCCGCAAGGCUAAA
rnacentral:rRNA from 1 species